UACGUAGGGUCCAAGCGUUGUCCGGAAUUAUUGGGCGUAAAGAGCUCGUAGGCGGUCUGUUGCGUCGGUUGUGAAAACCCGGGGCUCAACUCCGGGCCUGCAAUCGAUACGGGCAGACUAGAGUUCGGUAGGGGAGACUGGAAUUCCUGGUGUAGCGGUGAAAUGCGCAGAUAUCAGGAGGAACACCGGUGGCGAAGGCGGGUCUCUGGGCCGAAACUGACGCUGAGGAGCGAAAGCGUGGGAGCGAACAGG
rnacentral:rRNA from 1 species